GUUCGAUGAUGUGCAAGGUAACUGUUGUAUAUAGACAGAGUUCUACGACUGCCGAUUUAUUUUAACUGGGAGAUAUUUUUCAAUUCUUACAAGUUCCUGUCUUUAAACCUCACAUUUUACUUCAUACUAAUUUUUGCAAGACUGCCCAGUACUAGCAGGUAGCAUGCAGAAAUCUCAACUUGGUGGAGUCAAUUGAGGAUAGAGGGAAUGCCAGUGGCUCUCAUGAAAGAUUGGUACACUGUAUUUGAUGGUGAGCUGGUGAUAUAAGGUGAGCAUUGCAUUCUGACCAUGUCCUGUUUGGUGUGGAGAUAGGCUUAUCAAUAUAAUUUUAUGUGCAUUUAGGAUCUCAGUAUUUCUCGUGAAAAUUGGUGAUGGCCUGUUCACUUGACCUUCAUGUCCAUUCUAUUUUACCUUGAAAUGCAUGAUUAGCCCUGGAAACUAACCGGACGUUAAAGUUACACCCUGGUGAGUUUUGCUUGUGACUGGUCAUAUUUCUUAAAACAAGUCUCGGGUGUUGGAUAAAAGUUUGGUAAUUAACUGAGCUUUUGAGUCUGACACUUGGCUUGGAAAGGUUUGCGACAACUUUGAAAUUGUGGACAGUAGUCUAAAUCUCAAGAUGUGCUCAACUUUGAAAUAUUGUCAACUGUGACUAAAGUCCAGAAUCCUUGAUAGCAGCUGAUAUAUAUCUAAUUUACCUGAAUAUACCGUAAAGUACUGGCUUUAAAAUCUUACUGGUUCCCAUAUUACUAGCAGCCACCAAGCUCUUGGAUUGGAGAUGUUUGUUAGAUAAAUCCUUGUGGGUUUUGAGCUUAAAACUAUACUCAACCUGUGUCUAUCGUUUGCGCCAGGUGAGCUUGUUCUUAAUAUCUUACAAAAGUCAUUUCCUUUAUCAAACUUUAGUGAUGUGAUGAUUGUAUUCAUCUAUUGCUUGUUUCUUCUUUCUAUAAAGGCUCAUUACUCAAAAGUUAUCUUCUGGCAAAAAAAAAGACUGUUAUUUGGUCUGAUAACAUCUUAUUGGCUGCUACAAUAUCUUCUUUGACAAACUGAGUAUUUGAAAUCUGCUGGAAAAUGUUUUACAACUAUAUUUAAGCAAGGACGAGUAUUUUUUUUAAUUUAUCGUUUUCAUUUUUGCAAUUGAGUGAAACUACCGUUGAAGGUAAUUUAUCAACAUCGAGUGUCAACACUAGUGAAACAAAAUUAGUCCGGCUUGUUUUGUUGAUUAAAGAUGAAAUCAUUCUAUAGGCAAGAUAGACUAACCCCAGAAUGCUGGUAGUUUAGGCUCGUUUUGGACAUGCGAAAGAUUUUACUCAUCGAAGGUGGAUUUGGAGAGCUGCUGCUUCCUACUGUGAAUGGAUGAGCAGCUGGUAAAUGUUUUACUCAUUGGGCUACGUGACGUCAGCCCAAAGAUCGCCUCCAAAGCUGUAGCAGCGGGUCAAUUGUACAAGAGCCUGUAACUCUGUAAGGUAUGAUAUACUAACCCUUCGGAACGGGCGCCAACGCUUCCAUCGUCAUGUUACAUGAGAUCGCGUUCGAAGACGGCGAGCAGCAGGUUUGAUCACAGGUUUCGAACCUGGCAUUCUCGUAUAGUCGUAUUUGCUUCGAUCAUCAUAUGUUACAGAGAUCGCGUUUGUUUGAAGACGGCGAGCAGCGGUUUUGAUCACAGGUUUCGAACCAACAACCCUGUACUAAUAUAUACUACUGCAUGUGUUCUUUC
rnacentral:sRNA from 1 species